GGAAGAUGGCGGACUCGGUGGCCAGCCGAUGAGGAGGCCGCGGGGGGAACCCGGCCCCCGGGCCCCGAGACCGACUGAGGGAGCGACCUGCGCAGGGCCCGGGGAGUCAUGUAGGGGUGGCGCCUGCGGGGAGGGCUGCGGGAGGGCAGCGGGAGCUGGUGUUAGCGGCAGCGGCCACGGUCUCCUGGCGUCCCUGGGCCGGGGUGGGUGUGGGGGCCCCCGACUCCGCCGACUCCGCGCCAUCGCAAAGCGGUGCACUCGGGCUCCACGCGCGCCCUGCGAGGUGGGCGCUGCGUUUUCAUUUCACGGGUGAGGAGACUUAGAGAGACGAAGCCACUUGUCCAAGGUCACGCCGCUGGUGAGUGGGAGCGCCCAGCAUGGAACCCAGCACCGUCCAGCCGCGGAGCCCGCGUUCCACCCUCUGUGCCGCCGCCGCCUCCUGUGGGAGAGGGAGGUGGUCGGGAGAGUGCACGCCGGUGCCGCCUGGGCUCCAGACUGGGCGCGACCACUAACCGGGUUAAUGACCUCGGGCUUAACUUAACCCCUUCGCUGCUCUGGGCCUGCAUUUCUCCACCGGUGAAAUGAGGCUUUCCAUCUGAUGGUCCCCUGGUGUGUGCCCUGGAACAGGAGCGAAGGCUCCGCGUCCCUCCGAAGCCACCUCCCCCUUUGCAGCCCCUUCUCCGAGAGGCAAGGCCAGAGGAACUGACUCCCCACGUGAUGGUGCUCCUGGCCCAGCACCUGGCCCGGCACCGGUUGCGGGAGCCCCAGCUUCUGGAAGCCAUUGCCCACUUCCUGGUGGUUCAGGAAACCCAGCUCAGCAGCAAGGUGGUACAGAAGUUGGUCCUGCCCUUUGGGCGGCUGAACUACCUGCCCCUGGAACAGCAGUUUAUGCCCUGCCUUGAGAGGAUCCUGGCUCGGGAAGCAGGGGUGGCACCCCUGGCUACAGUCAACAUCUUGAUGUCACUGUGCCAACUGCGGUGCCUGCCCUUCAGAGCCCUGCACUUUGUUUUUUCCCCUGGCUUCAUCAACUACAUCAGUGGCACCCCUCAUGCUCUGAUUGUGCGUCGCUACCUCUCCCUGCUGGACACGGCCGUGGAGCUGGAGCUCCCAGGAUACCGGGGUCCCCGCCUUCCCCGAAGGCAGCAAGUGCCCAUCUUUCCCCAGCCUCUCAUCACCGACCGUGCCCGCUGCAAGUACAGUCACAAGGACAUAGUAGCUGAGGGGUUGCGCCAGCUGCUGGGGGAGGAGAAAUACCGCCAGGACCUGACUGUGCCUCCAGGCUACUGCACAGGUGAGCAAGGGGCAGGCGGCAGGCCCAGGGAGACGGAGCCCUGGCUAAGGCCGCCGGCCCUGCUCCCCCUCCAGACUUCCUGCUGUGCGUCAGCAGCUCUGGUGCUGUGCUUCCCGUGAGGACCCAGGACCCCUUCCUGCCAUACCCACCAAGGUCCUGCCCACAGGGCCAGGCCGCCUCUAGCCCCACUACUCGAGACCCUGCCCAGAGGUAAGGGAGGCAGGGUGGGGGAGCCCUGGCCACCUUGCCCGCCAUGCCCUGAGCCACAUCCCUCCCCCUGCAGGGUGGUGCUGGUGUUGCGGGAACGCUGGCAUUUCUGCCGGGACGGCAGGGUGCUGCUGGGCUCGAGAGCCCUGAGGGAGCGGCACCUAGGCCUGAUGGGCUACCAGCUCCUGCCGGUGAGUGGCCCUGGCCUGGCCCGUGGCGUAUCCUCACUCCGGGCCUGCGGGUAACCUGCCGCCAUCUCCUCUCCCCACAGCUACCCUUCGAGGAACUGGAGUCCCAGAGAGGCCUGCCCCAGCUCAAGAGCUACCUGAGGCAGAAGCUCCAGGCCCUGGGCCUGCGCUGGGGGCCUGAAGGGGGCUGAGGGGAUGAUGUGGGGUUCAGGAUGGCCCCCCCAUGGGGGGUGGAUGAUUUGCACUUUGGUUCCCUAUGUUUUGAUUUCUCAUUAAAGUUCCUUUCCUUCCC
rnacentral:sRNA from 1 species